UUUUAUAAUCCAUUUAAAAUAAUACACUUGCCACUAGGUGGCUAUUUCUGAUCAGAUCAUUAUACCAUUUUAAUUACAUUUUUAAUAUCCUGGCUGCAUAAACAAAGAUAAAUUACAAGCCUUGCACAAUCUGGCUGCUAGCUCAGGCACAGUCCAUAAUAAUAUCAGCUUUUGUUUGUGCCUCCUCUAAUUAGAUUCUGAAAUCUCAGCUUUAUCAAUCAAUAAUUUUAAUUUCAGAAUUGCCUUUUGAUCUUGCAUUUCAUGUUUGUUUGCAGAAAAUGAUCAGUAGUACAAAGCUGAUAAUUUAUGCAGAAACAAUCUCUCAGCAGAGUUACAAACGCAUUCCUAGCCAUCAACACCACCCGGCAGACUAAGCUUGACACAGGUCUAAUUAGCAUGCAGAUAUGUGUCGCCUCAUUGGCAAUUCAAAUUGCUUUUUUAUAAUGUACCUCAAAUUGUGCUACUCAAACAUUGUAUUUGAUUUCCAAAGCCCCCUGGGCAUCCCAUAAUGUCUCCCUUCAUCCUGGCUACGAAGCAUUUAUUGAACAGUCUGCUUCGACUUGGGCUCUCUUUUCAAAUGCACCCGAACAUUGUAAUCAUGGGACCAGCUUUUCCUCCUGUUCAGACAGCAACUUGUUCCUCUGCAGAGCACCGUGUGCCACAUCCCUGGGCUUAGCGAUGAUAUGUUACCUUGCGGGCUCCCGCUCCCACGGUGGCUGCUCUGUUGAGGGCUUCGCUCCUGUGCCACUCAUGUAAAAAGGGGGAGGAUGUCUACAGAGCGCACAUUAAUAUGCGACACAUAACCACAUCUCUGAAUGCCAGCCUUCCAUUCUUCAUUAAACAAAAUGGCUGGAUUGCGGGGAUUGUUUUCCCCUCCACACACGCGCGCGCGCACACACACUAGGCACGCUAGCACAGACCCACACACCCCCAUACACAUUCAGCUUUAUCCCUUGCUCUCCCACAUGCACACGCACAUGCUUUUCCUCUUACACACAAGCACAUGCACACACACGUCCUUCCUGGCUGCUGUAGCGCAUCCCUGUCGGCGGGGCGAGUUAUGCGCUAAAAGUUGUCUGCGGCAUGCAUGACAUGCAAGGAGAUUCCUACCAACAUCAGGGCCCUUUUUUGCCAUGCAGCAACAAGUGGCAGAAUCAAUGGUGUACAGUUAUUCAGCAGUGUAAUUCAUUUCACUGGCUUUGGCUUGUAGCCAGAUCCGCCAUCUGUCUCUUGCUCUCUCUCUCUCUCUCUCUCUCUCUCGCUUGAAUUUGUCCUACAUUUCGUAAUGUUACGUGCUUGCCAUCCUUAUUCUAUGUCAGAGGUGCAGCACAAGUCUCACCCCCGUUCCAGCGUGGAGUUCUCCGAGUUCGGUGCCACUUUGGAUAUUCCACUUCAGUGCCAUGGCAAGAAAAGGAGUAUCUUCAUUUGCUUUAUUGGAUGCCGGCACUGAACACCACUGCACAGCUUCGUGGAAUGCCUGCUGUUGGAUGCUUGCAGAUCCCUGCCACCAAGCAACCUCCUGCAUUGGAAAUCGUGUGACUACUCCAGGAUCUUAUGCGUGCUUGCUGUUUGAAGCUGCAGAAAAGUGAAUAAUCAAUUAAGUAUUGAUUUCUUGUAAGAUUUGGUAAAUUUCAAAGGCAAGACAAAGAGGAUGGCUUAAGGAAAGCACUGCAGGGACUUGGCGUAAAUUAGACAACUAACAGCAGUGCAGAAUAAAAUAACACCUCAACUGAAUAUUUCCUUGGAAGAAUUAGCACUAGCUAUUGGAAGACGAUGGUGGAUUUAAUCAAGACAGCAGGCACGCUUGAGUUUUAACCGUGAACCUGAAAGAGGAGCUAAUUAUAACCACCUAUUUAUAUGGAGCUAAUUUGACUGAAUGGAUGCAAAUGUGCUUUAUUUAUGGAUGAAGAAGCAAGCCUUACAGCAUUGACUUUGGGAUCAUCGCAUAUGCUAAGCUUUACAGCUUCUCUAAAAGUCAAGCCUACAGUACAUUUUAUUUACUGAGAAGGUAUUUAUAUGUAAGCAUAAGCUAGCUAUACAAAAGAUUCGUCAGAACAAUGUACUGUAGCAUUGAGGAUCUAAUUAUAAUUUUGCAGCAUUUUGUGUUUUCUCUAAUUUGGUGCUUUUCAACCCUUGCUUGUGAUGGGCUAUAAAUGGGACAAUAAAUGUAUGCUUUAACCUAUUA